rnacentral:tRNA from 1 species
GAAGGCAGAGCUCAAGUGGUAGAGCGCAUGCUUAACAUGCAUGAGGUCCCGGGUUCAAUCCUUAGUACCUCCU